rnacentral:rRNA from 1 species
CAGCUCGUGUCGUGAGAUGUUGGGUUAAGUCCCGCAACGAGCGCAACCCUUACCCUUAGUUGCCAGCGCGUCAAGGCGGGAACUCUAGGGGGACCGCCCGGGUUAACCGGGAGGAAGGUGGGGAUGAUGUCAAGUCCUCAUGGCCCUUAUGUCCAGGGCUACACACGUGCUACAAUGGGCGAUACAAACCGUUGCAAAGCCGCGAGGUGGAGCUAAUCGGAGAAAGUCGUCCUCAGUUCGGAUUGCAGUCUGCAACUCGACUGCAUGAAGGUGGAAUCGCUAGUAAUCGUGUAUCAGAAUGAUACAGUGAAUACGUUCCCGGGCCUUGUACACACCGCCCGUCACAUCACGAAAGCCGGGAGCACUUGAAGAGGCUGAGUUAACCGCAAGGGGUCAGGUCUCAAUGGUGAACUUGGUGAUUGGGGUGAAGUCGUAACAAGGUAACC